rnacentral:rRNA from 1 species
UGCUGAAAGCAUCUAAGCACGAAACUUGCCCCGAGAUGAGUUCUCCCUGAGACUUUAAGUCUCCUGAAGGAACGUUAAAGACGAUGACGUUGAUAGGCCGGGUGUGUAAGCGCAGCGAUGCGUUGAGCUAACCGGUACUAAUGAACCGUGAGGCUUAACCUU